CGGCGAGUGAAGCGGUAACAGCUCAAAUUUGAAAUCUGGGUCUUUCAGGCUCCGAGUUGUAAUUUGUAGAAGAUGCUUUGGGUGCGGUCCCGGUCUAAGUUCCUUGGAACAGGACGUCAUAGAGGGUGAGAAUCCCGUAUGUGAUCGGUGGCUUGCGCCCGUGUAAAGCUCUUUCGACGAGUCGGGUUGUUUGGGAAUGCAGCUCUAAAUGGGUGGUAAAUUUCAUCUAAAGCUAAAUAUUGGCCAGAGACCGAUAGCGCACAAGUAGAGUGAUCGAAAGAUGAAAAGCACUUUGGAAAGAGAGUUAAACAGUACGUGAAAUUGUUGAAAGGGAAGCGCUUGCAACCAGACUUGCGCGGGGUUGAUCAUCCGGGGUUCUCCCCGGUGCACUCGGCCUCGCUCAGGCCAGCAUCGGUUUCGGUGGUUGGAUAAAGGCCUUGGGAAUGUGACUUCUUUCGGGGAGUGUUAUAGCCCUCGGUGCAAUGCAGCCUACCGGGACCGAGGACCGCGCUUCGGCUAGGAUGCUGGCGUAAUGGUUGUAAGCGACCCGUCUUGAAACACGGACCAAGGAGUCUAACAUCUAUGCGAGUGUUUGGGCGUCAAACCCAUACGCGUAAUGAAAGUGAACGGAGGUGAGAACCCUUAAGGGUGCAUCAUCGACCGAUCCUGAUGUCUUCGGAUGGAUUUGAGUAAGAGCAUAGCUGUUGGGACCCGAAAGAUGGUGAACUAUGCCUGAAUAGGGUGAAGCCAGAGGAAACUCUGGUGGAGGCUCGCAGCGGUUCUGACGUGCAAAUCGAUCGUCAAAUU
rnacentral:rRNA from 1 species